rnacentral:rRNA from 1 species
AUUGAACGCUGGCGGCAGGCUUAACACAUGCAAGUCGAACGAGUGGCGGACGGGUGAGUAAUGCUUGGGAAUCUGGCUUAUGGAGGGGGAUAACUACUGGAAACUGUAGCUAAUACCGCAUACCAUCGGAUGAGCCCAGGUGGGAUUAGGUAGUUGGUGGGGUAAAGGCUCACCAAGCCGACGAUCCCUAGCUGGUCUGAGAGGAUGACCAGCCACACUGGAACUGAGACACGGCCCAGACUCCUACGGGAGGCAGCAGUGGGGAAUAGUGCGCAAUGGGGGCAACCUGACGCAGCCAUGCCGCGUGAAUGAAGAAGGCCUUCGGGUUGUAAAGUUCUUUCGGUGGCGAGGCGUUAACCACAGAAGAAGCACCGGCUAACUCCGUGCCAGCAGCCGCGGUAAUUC